CUGAGCAGCCACAUCACAGUCCAGGAGGUGCCGCUUCCACAUUUUGUGCUGCUACAUGUAUGCCGUGCUCUACAUGGGUCACAGGGGGAUUCUGCCUUGGAAGCAAAGCAACAGUAAAGAGUGCUCAAUCAAUUGGUGAAUAUUGAUGGAAGGAGGAGGCUUCGAAUUCCUCUGGCUUAUUUGAAAGCCACUUGUAACACUUCCCCAGCAGGAGCAAACAAUAAAACACUGAGAAGUACAAAGGAACUGGAAGAAAAUCUAUUUUGGGAUCAAAGAGCUCCUUCCACCAAGGGAAGCAGAACCCCUGAAUCAACAGGCACCUGGAUUGUGUAGACAAGAU
rnacentral:lncRNA from 1 species